CAUGGUGACAAUAGCGGCGGUGCCACACUCCUUCCCAUUCCGAACAGGAUAGUUAAGCCCACCAGCGCCGAUGAUACUUUAAAGGGAAAGUAGGUCGUUGCCAUGG
rnacentral:rRNA from 1 species